GUUGAACUUGUUGAACUAUGACAAGUGGCAAAAUCACUGCACAAAUGAGUUAAAUUCACAAAUCUUUGGGUAAACGUUAUGGAUGAAGAAUAGUUAGGCAAACGCUUGGUUUUCCUCAUUUUGUUGAGUCUACACCCGUUAUAGUUUAUAUUUCAGGAUGCAACAUGCAUCUCAUAGAGCAAGAAAUAUAGCUCAAAGGUAUGUGCAAUUUUCCUCUACUGGUAAUCUUUCUCUGGAUGAUUGGGAACCUUUUGUGUAUGAUGAGCCUUUUCCUAAAGAACCACUUCACACUCCCUGCUAUUAUGAGACAACUAGUCCUCAUGGUGGAGCCGCUAAUAGGAAUUAGGCCCAUGUAUAGUUUUUGGGGGUCCCAAACUGAAUUGAAGAACCAUACUAAAUCGACAAGAACAAUGCCGAC
rnacentral:misc_RNA from 1 species